CAGCCGCCGCGGUAAUACGAAGGGUGCAAGCGUUAAUCGGAAUUACUGGGCGUAAAGCGUGCGUAGGCGGUUUGUUAAGUCUGUUGUGAAAUCCCCGGGCUCAACCUGGGAAUGGCAAUGGAUACUGGCAAGCUAGAGUGUGUCAGAGGAUGGUGGAAUUCCCGGUGUAGCGGUGAAAUGCGUAGAGAUCGGGAGGAACAUCAGUGGCGAAGGCGGCCAUCUGGGACAACACUGACGCUGAGGCACGAAAGCGUGGGGAGCAAACAGGAUUAGAUACCCGGUAGUCCCUGUCUCUUAUACA
rnacentral:rRNA from 1 species